rnacentral:rRNA from 1 species
CGCCGGUGCCUUAUGAUCAGUACGGCGAGUGAAGCGGCAAGAGCUCAAAUUUGAAAGCUGGCUCCUUCGGAGUCCGCAUUGUAAUUUGCAGAGGAUGCUUUGGGUGCGGCCCCCGUCUAAGUGCCCUGGAACGGGCCGUCAGAGAGGGUGAGAAUCCCGUCUUGGGCGGGGUGUCCGUGCCCGUGUAAAGCUCCUUCGACGAGUCGAGUUGUUUGGGAAUGCAGCUCUAAAUGGGUGGUAAAUUUCAUCUAAAGCUAAAUACUGGCCGGAGACCGAUAGCGCACAAGUAGAGUGAUCGAAAGAUGAAAAGCACUUUGAAAAGAGAGUUAAACAGCACGUGAAAUUGUUGAAAGGGAAGCGCUUGCAACCAGACUCGCCCGCGGGGUUCAGCCGGCAUUCGUGCCGGUGUACUUCCCCGUGGGCGGGCCAGCGUCGGUUUGGGCGGCCGGUCAAAGGCCCCUGGAAUGUAGUGCCCUCCGGGGCACCUUAUAGCCAGGGGUGCAAUGCGGCCAGCCUGGACCGAGGAACGCGCUUCGGCACGGACGCUGGCAUAAUGGUCGUAAACGACCCGUCUUGAAAACCGGACCAA